rnacentral:lncRNA from 1 species
GAAGUCAUGUGAUGCAAGUUAGACUUCAGAAAUUAACACCUUCACUUCUCUUAUUUUUAUUUCAGAAAUUCUUGGUUUAAGUAUCGUUCUUUACUAACCAUCUUACUAAUCCUCGGUGCUCGCCAAGAUGCUUCUUUGUAGUUCUGAUCCUGCACUUUGUGAAUCAAUAUUCCAAGCCACACUGACUAGUCGCAGUUCCCUAGCAAAGUUUCCAACACCAG